rnacentral:lncRNA from 1 species
GUAAAACUGCAGUACUUUAACUGAGCAACUACAUGUUCAUUUGUAUCCUACAUCCCAACACUUGUGCUGGCUCUUUGUGAAGGAUGACAGUAGUGUGAGUCUCCUGCCUGUAUUUCCCAACACAGGUGACAUUUCGUUAUGCUCAUUGCACAGUAAUGUUACGAUUUUGAAAUAAAAUGCUUACACAGAAAAUAAGUUGAUCCCUAGGGGCUGUCAGUGUUUGGUGAGAAAAACUUUCAAGAGGAGGAGGAGUGCUGGUCCCUUGAACUCAAGUGCUCCACUUGCAAGCAUGCAGCAGUGGCUGGUGUGAUCCUGCAUUUACAUACGAGGCUGAAAAUGUUCCUGGAGCACUGCUUUGGCCUGUUACAGAGCACAGCUUUCCCCUGAAACUGCCCAGCCACCACAGAACCUUACUUCUGCCAGUACUGCUUUGUGAGGAGCUAGGAAGCAGCAUCCUGCUCCGGUAGUACUGGAAAAUUGGCAUGCUUCAAGCAGAAAAUCUCAGCUGGCAUCGUUACCAUCCCAGUCCUUGGUACCUGGCCCUGCUGCCUGCCAGUUGGAGAAUACUCAUGUUACGCAGCUCUUUUGCUUGACGACAGCAUCGUGCAGCCCAGCAGUGGAACUGCCUGUGCGUGGACGGAGCCAGGGACGUGACCGCUCGGCCACACGGCUGUGCUGGCAGAGCCAAAGCUGCCCUAAUCCCUUGUCAUGCUCAGCCCUGAGCUAUGCAGCGCAGCGCGGGGCUGUGAAGAAGCAGAGACCAGCUCUGUGCUGCCUUCAGGUACAAACGACGCUGUUACCUGGUUAAAAAUUUAAUACAUACUUUCACAGAGAAAAAUUACAGGUUAUUUGCCAGGAUUAGGCGUCUUUUCCAAGCUAAGCAUGGCAUCUUUUCCAAGCUAAGCAAGAGCCCCCAGUGACAGCAGCCCUGGGUGCAUGGGCUCUGCUCACGUUUGUGCUCCCAGCAGGGAGGAGUGGUGCCAGCCCCCGGCAUGCUGCUGGCAGGCAUGGGCUGCUUUCGGGGUCUCUGUGCUGCUGUGGAGAUAAAUGCAAGUAAACACAACUUUGAAGCAAGUAAACACAGUUUUCGGGCAAUGGGAUUUUAUUGACUGUCACUGUACAACAAGGAUGAUGCUGAGGGAGCCACUGUGUGUG